CCUGGUGGCUCAGAUGGUAAAGAACCUGUCUGCAAUGCAGGGGACCCAGGUUCAAUCCCUGGGUCAGGA
rnacentral:tRNA from 1 species